rnacentral:rRNA from 1 species
UUGAACGCUGGCGGCAGGCCUAACACAUGCAAGUCGAACGGUAACAGGAAGCAGCUUGCUGCUUUGCUGACGAGUGGCGGACGGGUGAGUAAUGUUUGGGAAACUGCCUGAUGGAGGGGGAUAACUACUGGAAACGGUAGCUAAUACCGCAUAACGUCGCAAGACCAAAGAGGGGGACCUUCGGGCCUCUUGCCAUCGGAUGUGCCCAGAUGGGAUUAGCUAGUAGGUGGGGUAACGGCUCACCUAGGCGACGAUCCCUAGCUGGUCUGAGAGGAUGACCAGCCACACUGGAACUGAGACACGGUCCAGACUCCUACGGGAGGCAGCAGUGGGGAAUAUUGCACAAUGGGCGCAAGCCUGAUGCAGCCAUGCCGCGUGUAUGAAGAAGGCCUUCGGGUUGUAAAGUACUUUCAGCGGGGAGGAAUGGAGUAAAGUUAAUACCUUUGCUCAUUGACGUUACCCGCAGAAGAAGCACCGGCUAACUCCGUG